rnacentral:rRNA from 1 species
AACGAACGCUGGCGGCAUGCCUAACACAUGCGAGUCGAACGAGACCUUCGGGUCUAGUGGCGCACGGGUGCGUAACGCGUGGGAACCUGCCCUUAGGUUCGGAAUAACUCCCCGAAAGGGGUGCUAAUACCGGAUAAUAUCUUCGGACCAAAGAUUUAUCGCCUUUGGAUGGGCCCGCGUUGGAUUAGCUAGUUGGUAGGGUAAAAGCCUACCAAGGCGACGAUCCAUAGCUGGUCUGAGAGGAUGAUCAGCCACACUGGGACUGAGACACGGCACAGACUCCUACGGGAGGCAGCAGUGGGGAAUAUUGGACAAUGGGCGAAAGCCUGAUCCAGCAAUGCCGCGUGAGUGAUGAAGGCCUUAGGGUUGUAAAGCUCUUUUACCCGGGAUGAUAAUGACAGUACCGGGAGAAUAAGCUCCGGCUAACUCCGUG